rnacentral:rRNA from 1 species
CGGAGUGGCGAACGGGUGAGUAAUAUAUCGGAACGUACCGAGUAAUGGGGGAUAACUAAUCGAAAGAUUAGCUAAUACCGCAUAUUCUCUGAGGAGGAAAGCAGGGGACCUUCGGGCCUUGCGUUAUUCGAGCGGCCGAUAUCUGAUUAGCUAGUUGGUGGGGUAAAGGCCUACCAAGGCGACGAUCAGUAGCGGGUCUGAGAGGACGACCAGCCACACUGGGACUGAGACACGGCCCAG